rnacentral:sRNA from 1 species
GCUAUGAGAGAUACAGAUUUUAGCAUACAUUUAAAAAUUUUUAGGCAUAUUUAUAUUUGUUCUUCUGUUAAGUGUUGCUCAUACUUCGUUCUUUCUUAUAUAGCCACAUGCUAAAUGCCCUUUAUGCAGAAAUGAUAUACAUGAAGAUAAUUUAUUAGAAUGUCCUCCAGAAGAAUUAGCACGUGACAGUGAGAAAAAGUCUGAUAUGGAAUGGACAUCCAGUUCAAAGAUUAAUGCGCUAAUGCACGCAUUGACUGACUUAAGAAAGAAGAAUCCCAACAUAAAAAGUUUGGUUGUUUCUCAGUUUACAACAUUCCUGUCUUUAGUAGAAAUACCACUUAAAGCCUCUGGAUUUGUGUUUACUCGUUUGGAUGGUUCCAUGGCCCAAAAGAAAAGAGUUGAAUCAAUUCAGUGUUUUCAAAACACUGAAGCAGGAUCUCCAACUAUAAUGCUUCUGUCCUUAAAAGCAGGUGGAGUUGGUUUGAAUCUGUCUGCAGCUUCUCGAGUGUUUUUAAUGGAUCCAGCCUGGAAUC